AUGGGGAAAAAAUGGGAGAAAAAUGGGAAAAAAUGGGGAAAAAAUGGGAAAAAAGGGGGAAAAAUGGGAAAAAAAUGGGAGAAAAAUGGGAAAAAAUUGGGAAAAAAUGUGAAAAAAUGGGAGAAAAAUAGGAAAAAAAUGGGAAAAAAAUGGGAGAAAAAUAGGAAAAAAUGGGGAAAAUGUUGGAAAAGGUGGCAAAGGUGGAAUUUUUUUGGGAAUUGCAGCCAGGGUGACGCAGCUGAUCCGGGGAUUCUCCGGGAGCUGGAAAAGCGCGGUGGAGACGCUGAGCCAGGACGUGAUGAGAUCCUUCAGCAACUUCCGAAUCGGCACCGGCAUCAUCCAGGCGGCGCUGACGCAGCUGAUCCAGGUCUAUCACCGCUUCCAGAAGAUUCUGGAGCAGCCCCCGCUGCGGGCGCUGCCGGCCCGAGCCGACCUCAUCAACAUCCACCACCUGAUGGUGGAGCUGAAGAAACACAAACCCAAUUUUUAGGGAAUUCGGCCCAAAAUCCCGGGAAUUCUUCUCGAAUCCUGGGAAUUCUCAUUGUUUGCAGAUCUCAAAUAGGUCCGGAAUCGACGAGGGGGUUUUUUUUUCUUGUGAAAUUCUCGUUUUUUUCGCCUGAAAUUCCCAUUUUUUCCCUCCCAAAAUUCCCAUUUUUUCUCCUCCUGAAAUUCUCAUUUUUCCCCCAUAAAAUUCCCAUUUUUCCCUCCCAAAAUUCCCGGUUUUUCCCUCCCAAAAUUCCCAAUUUUCCCCCCAAAAUUCCGAAUUUUCCCCCCCAAAUUCCCAUUUUUCCCCCCCCAAAAUUCCUCUUUUACCCCUCACAAAAUUCCCAUUUUACCCCUCACAAAAUUCCUCAUUUUUCUCUCCUGGAAUUCCCAUUUUUCCCUCCCAAAAUUCCCCUUUUACCCCCUCACAAAAUUCCCAUUUUUCCCCCCCAAAAUUCCCAUUUUUCCCUCCCAAAAUUCCCAUUUUUCCCCCCAAAAUUCCCAUUUUUUCCUCCAAAAUUCCCAUUUUUCCCCCCAAAAUUCCCAUUUUUCCCCCAAAAUUCCCAUUUUCCCCCCAAAACUCCCAAAUUUUCCCCCCAAAUUCCCAUUUUUCCCCCAAAAUUCCCAAUUUUUCCCCCAAAAUUCCCAUUUUUCCCCCCAAAAUUCCCGAUUUUCCCCCCAAAAAUUCCAGGUGGGAAUAAAAACCG
rnacentral:lncRNA from 1 species